rnacentral:sRNA from 1 species
GCUGGGUGUGGUAGUGCACACCUGUAAUCCCAGAUACUCAGGAGGCUGAAGACAGAAGAGUCACAAGUUCAAGGCCAACUGGGCAACAUGGUGAGAUUCUGUCUCAG